rnacentral:lncRNA from 1 species
CUCAGUUGCACCCCAUGCAUUGUUCUGAAGCACCCCCUGCAUUGCUCUUCUGUACCCUGUGAAUUGCUCUGUUGCACCCCGAGCACUGCUCAGUUGCACUCCGUUCAUUACUUUCCUGCACCCUGUGCAUUGCUCUGCUGCACCCCAGGCAUUGUUCUCCUACACUCCAUACAUUUAUCUAUUGCACCCCGCGCAUUGCAUUGCUACACUCCGUACAUUGUUGUCCUGCAUCCUGAACAUUGCCCUAUUGCACCCCGUGCACUGCUCAGUUGCACCCCGUUCAUUACUCUCCUGCACUGUGCACAUUGCUCUCCUGCACCCAAUGCAUUGCCCUGCAGCACCCCGUGCAUUUCUCUGUUGCACUCAAUGCAAAGCUCUCUUGCACCCCAUGCAUUGCUCUGCUGCACCCCCUGCAUUUCUCUGCUGCACCCCGUGCAUUGCUCUGCUGCACCCCAUGCAAUGCUCAGUUGUACCCCAUUCAUUACUCUCCUGCAGCGUGCACAUUGCUCUCCUGCACCCCAUGCAUUGCCCUGCUGCACCCUGUGCAUUACUCUGCAGCACCCCGUGCAUUGUUCUGCUGCACCCUGCGCAUUGCUCUCCUGCACCCAAUGCAUUGCUGUGCAGCACCCCAUGCAUUGUUCUCCUACACCCCAUGCAUUUCUCUAUUGCACCCUGUGCAUUUCUCUCUUGCUCCCCAUGCAUUGCCCUGCUGCACCCCGUGCACUGCUCUGUGCACCCCGCCCCGCCCUUCCCGCGCCCCGCCCUUCCCGCGCCCCUCCCGGCCCCGCCCUCCCCCUCCCUCCCCAUUGGCCGCUCCCCGCCCUCCCCUCUCCCAUUGGCCACCCCGCAUCCCGGUGGGCGCUCCGCGGCUCGUGAUUGGCUGAGCGGCGCGAGGGGCGGGCGGAAGCUUCCAGAAGCGGCGGCGGCGGCGGCGGCGGGGCCGCACCAUGACGGCGGCGGGGCCGGGGCCGGGCUCACCAUCGCCGAGUUCAAGUGCAAACUGGAGCUGGUGGUGGGCAGCCCCGCGUCCUGCAUGGAGCUGGAGCUCUACGGCCCCGCCGAGGAGCUGCUGGGGCGCCUGGACUGCGACGAGGC